AUGUUUUGGAGCCUUGCAAAUCUACUGGACCUGUUCAGAAGCAAUUGCAACAAACAUCAUCAAUGAAUGCUCAAACCAAAACUCAACUAUAAAUGCCAAAAUAGGAGAAAAAGCGAAAAGGAAAACUACAUAUGCACCACUUAUCAAAAAUUACGAUCCACUAGUCUUAAGGCUCGCAAUUUCUGAUCUUGAACCAAAGGCCACCAAGCUCAAUCCUUUUCAACAUACUGUACACCGAUUUUACUACGUAUUAUUAGACUCAACGAGUGAUAUCGACCCAGAAGAGACCUUCUAAACAG